rnacentral:rRNA from 1 species
UACGUAGGGACCAAGCGUUGUUCGGAUUUACUGGGCGUAAAGGGCGCGUAGGCGGCUUGUCACGUCGGAUGUGAAAGCCCGAGGCUUAACCUCGGGUCUGCAUUCGAUACGGGCUAGCUAGAGUGUGGUAGGGGAGAUCGGAAUUCCUGGUGUAGCGGUGAAAUGCGCAGAUAUCAGGAGGAACACCGGUGGCGAAGGCGGAUCUCUGGGCCAUUACUGACGCUGAGGAGCGAAAGCGUGGGGAGCGAACAGG